rnacentral:hammerhead_ribozyme from 1 species
GUCUAGCUGACGAGUUCUAAAUAGAACGAAACUCGUUCCCUAGAU